rnacentral:rRNA from 1 species
AACGAACGCUGGCGGCAUGCCUAACACAUGCAAGUCGAACGAGACCUUCGUGUCUAGUGGCGCACGGGUGCGUAACGCGUGGUAACCUGCCCUUAUGUUCGGAAUAACUCCCCGAAAGGGGUGCUAAUAUCGGCUAAUGUCUUCUGACCAAAGAUUUAUCGACUUUGGAUGGGCCCGCGUUGGAUUAGCUAGUUGGUAGGGUAAAAGCCUACCAAGGCUACGAUCCAUAGCUGUUCAGAGAGGAAGAGCAGCCACACUGAGAGUAAGACACGGCCCAGAAUCCUACGGGAGGGAGGAGAGGGGAAUAUUGGAAAACGGGCGAAAGGAUGAAGCAGCAAUGCCGCGUGAGUGAUGAAGGACUGAGGGUAGUAAAGCUCUUUUACACGGGAUGAUAAUGACAGUACCGGAAGAAUAAGCACCGGCUAACUCCGUG